AUUUGGUAAGAGCAAAAAUGCAGAGGAAAAAGGUUAAAAGAGUUGUUGCAGAGAAGGAGAGGUAAAGAAGGGAUGCAGCAUAAUAUAAAUGGAAGGAGUUAUAGCCUCUAGGGGGGAAUCAUUGAUUUCUGAGGAGCAUCACUGAUGAUGGAAAAAGAAAGUAGGUUUGGUUCUGUGCAUAUCUUUGCAUGAACAGGUCCCAAGUUGCUUUACGUUUAUACUCCACUAAAUCAUGCAAGUGUGUAGGGAACAACAGCAAUGGAAAGCAAGCUCCUUUUUCAUCCUGAUAGGAUAGAAAUGUUGGGUAUACCUUUUUUCCCCAUCUUUUUACGUAUUGUCCUUUCUCAUAAUCACAAGACAUUGACUUGAUUAAACCUAACAGUAAGUAUCUCCGAUAUUGUACGAUUUAAAAAUGACCAUGAUUUUCCUGCAAACUUGUGAUGUCCAGUACCUUUAUCGUAUACUUAAUAUGAGCAAGUAUAAGAAUUCUUUUGCUUUUAUGAUGAUGCCGAAACUGUUAAAUGCUGAAGUAGGCUUUAAAUUGGUUCUGAUGCGGAAGACUAAUAAUUGUUUAAUCCGUGUGCUUUUGCAUUGCAGGUCCCAUAAGCAACCACUUGCCUUAUGUACUCUCACAGCUUUGUUGUACUAUAUACUAUUAACUAUUUGACAUCAGGGUGAAGGUUGCUCCAGUGAGUUGAGUGCUCUCUCUUUCUCUAUCUGUUCAGAAUGGAAUUCUACAGCUGACCUUUGUGAUCAGCUCAUAAACAAUUUGAUUUUCCUCCAAACCAUUCUUUUAACUCCAUUCUGUUGUAAACUGGUUAAAUUCUGGGUUUUCAGAGUCAGUCAGAUUCCUGGGGCCAAGGAGGGUGAUGAGUGGGAAUAUAAUUGUUUGUACUCACAUGUAUGAUGGAGCUGAAAAGAAUUUGACAUGGGACCAUUAUAUUAUUCUCCAAGAUUUUGUACUAAUGGAUUAUCUAGAUUAAGAAGAAGAAACCAAGAGAACCUUGGGCUGUAAAGGUACAAGAAUGGUACAAAAUACACUUCUUCGUUUCUUUCUGCUUCUGCAGCUUGCCGAUUUAAUACUUGUCUAUCCUAAUGGAAUAGCAAGGAUUUUGAGAGAUGUAUUAACCAAAUUUAUCAAAACGUAUGAUUGUAAUAUGCAACUAAUUUUUGUUCCAACACACAGUAUAUCGGUAUUGCUGGGUUGUAUUCUGAGAAUUCUGACCACUGGUGUCGCACUGACAGGUCGGGAGUUCUCGUAGCAUAAGUUCAAG
rnacentral:lncRNA from 1 species